AUAUAUCAACCUCUUGCUCGUCGAGUGGUUGGAUGUGGAGGGUUUCAUUUGCUGGUUUUUUACCGAGUCAGCUCCUCUGAAAUAUAUUAGCAGAACAAUUUGUGGAUCGUUCAAUUAGUGUGUAUGCUAUUGAUGUGAAACAGGUUCAGCUUCUAAUAGUCCAUUGUAUUGGACAAAUUCUUUUAUUA
rnacentral:misc_RNA from 1 species